GACGAACGCUGGCGGCGUGCUUAACACAUGCAAGUCGAGCGGUAAGGCCCUUUCGGGGGUACACGAGCGGCGAACGGGUGAGUAACACGUGGGUGACCUGCCCUCAGCUCUGGGAUAAGCCUGGGAAACCGGGUCUAAUACUGGAUAUGACUCCAUGACGCAUGUUGUGGGGUGGAAAGCCUUGUGCGGCUGAGGAUGGGCCCGCGGCCUAUCAGCUUGUUGGUGGGGUGANGGCCUACCAAGGCGACGACGGGUAGCCGGCCUGAGAGGGCGACCGGCCACACUGGGACUGAGACACGGCCCAGACUCCUACGGGAGGCAGCAGUGGGGAAUCUUGCGCAAUGGGCGAAAAGCCUGACGCAGCGACGCCGCGUGA
rnacentral:rRNA from 1 species